rnacentral:rRNA from 1 species
AAUAGAUACCCCGGUAGUCCACGCCCUAAACGAUGCGAACUGGAUGUACGUCUCAACUCGGAGAUGUGUGUCGAAGCUAACGCGUUAAGUUCGCCGCCUGGGGAGUACGGUCGCAAGACUGAAACUCAAAGGAAUUGACGGGGGCCCGCACAAGCGGUGGAGUAUGUGGUUUAAUUCGAUGCAACGCGAAGAACCUUACCUGGCCUUGACAUGUCCGGAAUUCUGCAGAGAUGCGGGAGUGCCUUCGGGAGCCGGAACACAGGUGCUGCAUGGCUGUCGUCAGCUCGUGUCGUGAGAUGUUGGGUUAAGUCCCGCAACGAGCGCAACCCUUGUCCCUAGUUGCCAGCACGUAAUGGUGGGAACUCUAGGGAGACUGCCGGUGACAAACCGGAGGAAGGUGGGGAUGACGUCAAGUCCUCAUGGCCCUUACGGCCAGGGCUACACACGUACUACAAUGGUCGGUACAGAGGGUUGCGAAGCCGCGAGGUGGAGCCAAUCCCAGAAAGCCGAUCCCAGUCCGGAUCGGAGU